ensembl:lncRNA
AAAAAAUAUUACAAUAAUAUUGGCGUUAGAAAAUAUAAUUUUAUCAUGUAACCUUUAUAUAAUUUAACCCGAGGCAGUGCUUUAAUUUAACGUGGGGAAGUGAACACACAAAACUGUUAGAAGACUGUUGCUAGGCAACCGUGGACCCGACGCCUUAGCUAGGAGCUAGCUGGGCUAACGCCACAGCUAGGUAUUUUAUACGGCUCUUCCUGAGGUAAAGUGUGUGUAGUAGAGGAGGAGGAAGAACACUAAACUGUGCAGGACAGGGGGUUCUCCAGGACCAGGGCUGUGGAAGAGAAAACACCAGUUGAUGUGGAUACAUGAAUGAUAUGUGUCCGGACCAGAAAAAUGUCAACAGAGGCCUGGACUGAAGAACAUAACUAGAUAUGCUCCGUGUUUUUCUGAG